CCUACGGGUGGCAGCAGUGAGGAAUAUUGGUCAAUGGGCGCGAGCCUGAACCAGCCAAGUAGCGUGAAGGAUGACUGCCCUACGGGUUGUAAACUUCUUUUAUAAAGGAAUAAAGUGAGGCACGUGUGCCUUUUUGUAUGUACUUUAUGAAUAAGGAUCGGCUAACUCCGUGCCAGCAGCCGCGGUAAUACGGAGGAUCCGAGCGUUAUCCGGAUUUAUUGGGUUUAAAGGGAGCGUAGAUGGGUUGUUAAGUCAGUUGUGAAAGUUUGCGGCUCAACCGUAAAAUUGCAAUUGAUACUGGAAGUCUUGAGUACAGGUGAGGCAGGCGGAAUGCGUGGUGUAGCGGUGAAAUGCUUAGAUAUAACGCAGAACCCCGAUUGCGAAGGCGGCCUGCCAAGCCAUGACUGACGCUGAUGCACGAAAGCGUGGGGAUCAAACAGGAUUAGAUACCCUGGUAGUC
rnacentral:rRNA from 1 species